UCUGUUCUAGACUUGCUUAUAAGUGGAAUUAUAAGCUUCUUUCCCACAACCCGUUUUUGAGAUCCAGCCAUGUUGUUACAUGUGUGAUUGCAAGCCACAAAGUCCCGAGUUCCUGGGGAAAGAAAGGAGGAAGUCUGCAAAGGCGGUUGGGGGGCCAAGAAUUUCUCUCGUUCCAAGGGGACAGGUUCCAAAGUGGAACCACAUUUUCAGAAAUUUAAGGUAAGGUAAAUUUAAGGGCUCCCUUGGUUAAAACACAAUGGCACAUGCUUGCAGCUGAAGCAUCAUUGGACUCACCCAGGAAGGGGAUCAAGGGGGCUGCAUCUGUGUGAAUCACAUCAACAAAGUCAGCGUC